CGGUGAGGGCCACAUUGCGACGCAGCUCGGCGCCGUCGGGGAAGUGCUCCCGGCACUCGGGGCACGCCUUGUCGCGGCAGCCCCACCAGUCCCGGAUGCAGUCCCCGCAGAAGUUGUGGCCGCAGGGCAGCGUCACCGGCUCGAGGUAGAGCUCCAAGCAGAUGGCGCAGACCAUCAGCGCUAGACAUCUUGAAGCCAAGCUCCCCUGGCUCCAAGGAGUAGCACUUGCGUCCUCAUCUUGGUUCCGGCCGCCGCGCACCUGACUCCUCGCAGAAGUACUCCCGGUACGUCCGCCACCAGUGCGGGUUCCGCGCCUCCUGCUCCGCCCGGCGCCGGUAACGGUCGAAGCUUCGGUACUUCUCCAGCCGCUCCAGGUUGCUCACAUCGAUGUCCUCGUUGGGCAUCGGCCCCAGAGGGGCGGUCCGGCGACUCAGGGCGG